rnacentral:rRNA from 1 species
CGGAACUAACAGAUUUACUUCGGUAAUGACGUUAGGAAAGCGAGCGGCGGAUGGGUGAGUAACACGUGGGGAACCUGCCCCAUAGUCUGGGAUACCACUUGGAAACAGGUGCUAAUACCGGAUAAGAAAGCAGAUCGCAUGAUCAGCUUUUAAAAGGCGGCGUAAGCUGUCGCUAUGGGAUGGCCCCGCGGUGCAUUAGUUAGUUGGUAAGGUAAAGGCUUACCAAGGCGAUGAUGCAUAGCCGAGUUGAGAGACUGAUCGGCCACAUUGGGACUGAGGCACGGCCCAAACUCCUACGGGAGGCAGCAGUAGGGAAUCUUCCACAAUGGACGCAAGUCUGAUGGAGCAACGCCGCGUGAGUGAAGAAGGGUUUCGGCUCGUAAAGCUCUGUUGUUGGUGAAGAAGGAC